AUUGAACGCUGGCGGCAGGCCUAACUCAUGCAAGUCGAGCGGAUGAAGGGAGCUUGCUCCUGGAUUCAGCGGCGGACGGGUGAGUAAUGCCUAGGAAUCUGCCUGGUAGUGGGGGAUAACGUCCGGAAACGGGCGCUAAUACCGCAUACGUCCUGAGGGAGAAAGUGGGGGAUCUUCGGACCUCACGCUAUCAGAUGAGCCUAGGUCGGAUUAGCUAGUUGGUGGGGUAAAGGCCUACCAAGGCGACGAUCCGUAACUGGUCUGAGAGGAUGAUCAGUCACACUGGAACUGAGACACGGUCCUGACUACUACGGGAGGCAGCAGUGGGGAAUAUUGGACAAUGGGCGAAAGCCUGAUCCAGCCAUGCCGCGUGUGUGAAGAAGGUCUUCGGAUUGUAAAGCACUUUAAGUUGGGAGGAAGGGCAGUAAGUUAAUACCUUGCUGUUUUGACGUUACCAACAGAAUAAGCACCGGCUAACUUCGUG
rnacentral:rRNA from 1 species